rnacentral:rRNA from 1 species
UACGAAGGGAGCUAGCGUUGUUCGGAAUCACUGGGCGUAAAGCGCACGUAGGCGGAUGUGUCAGUCAGGGGUGAAAUCCCGGAGCUCAACUUCGGAACUGCCUUUGAUACAGCGACGUCUUGAGUCCGAUAGAGGUGGGUGGAAUUCCUAGUGUAGAGGUGAAAUUCGUAGAUAUUAGGAAGAACACCGGUGGCGAAGGCGGCCCACUGGAUCGGUACUGACGCUGAGGUGCGAAAGCGUGGGGAGCAAACAGG